CCAACCCAAUAGACGAACGAAAGUACGUGGUCGAAUUAAAAUACAAAUGGAAAAUUCAUAUUAUAAAUAUCAAAUUGGACAUUAGGUUCGACGAACAAUUACUAUACUAUUUUUGUGACUCAAAAAUCGAUAGACUACGUCAGCCAAACAUCAGGAUUAUACGAGGAUUAUAAAAAUAGAAAAUUGUGGAAAGAAGAUUAUUAAAAGCGAUUUUGAAUUAUUUGCAGUUGUAUUGGGUUGGCAACUAAGUGAUUGCGGGUUUUGUCAUUACCAUCUUAUGACAAAA
rnacentral:misc_RNA from 1 species